rnacentral:rRNA from 1 species
AUUGAACGCUGGCGGCAUGCCUUACACAUGCAAGUCGAACGGCAGCACGGGUGCUUGCACCUGGUGGCGAGUGGCGAACGGGUGAGUAAUAUAUCGGAACGUACCUUAUUGUGGGGGAUAACGCAGCGAAAGCUGUGCUAAUACCGCAUAAUCCCUAAGGGGGAAAGCGGGGGACCGUAAGGCCUCGCGCAAUUAGAGCGGCCGAUACCUGAUUAGCUAGUUGGUGAGGUAAAGGCUCACUAAGGCAACGAUCAGUAGCUGGUCUGAGAGGACGAUCAGCCACACUGGGACUGAGACACGGCCCAGACUGCUACGGGAGGCAGCAGUGGGGAAUGUUGGACAAUGUGGGCAACCCUGAUCCAGCAAUGCCGCGUGAGUGAAGAAGGCAUUCGGGUUGUAAAGCUCUUUUGUCAGGGAAGAAACAGCAGCUCUAACACAGUUUGCGAAUGACGGAACCUGAAGAAUAAGCACCGGCUAACUACGUGCCAGCAGCCGCCGUAA